rnacentral:rRNA from 1 species
GUCCGCCUUUUGGUGUGUACUGGUUGGACGGAGGCUUACCUCCUGGUGAGGCGGCAUGCUCUUUAUUGAGUGUGUUGCUGAACCCGGACUUUUACUUUGAAAAAAUUAGAGUGUUCAAAGCAGGCUUAUGCCCGAAUACAUUAGCAUGGAAUAAUAGAAUAGGACGCGCGUUUCUAUUUUGUUGGUUUCUAGGAUCGCCGUAAUGAUUAAUAGGGAUAGUUGGGGGCAUUCGUAUUCAAUUGC